rnacentral:rRNA from 1 species
AACGAACGCUGGCGGCAUGCCUAACACAUGCAAGUCGAACGAGACCUUCGGGUCUAGUGGCGCACGGGUGCGUAACGCGUGGGAACCUGCUCUUAGGUUCGGAAUAACUCCCCGAAAGGGGUGCUAAUACCGGAUAAUGUCUUCGGACCAAAGAUUUAUCGCCUUUGGAUGGGCCCGCGUUGGAUUAGCUAGUUGGUAGGGUAAAAGCCUACCAAGGCGACGAUCCAUAGCUGGUUUGAGAGGAUGAUCAGCCACACUGGGACUGGGACACGGCCCAGACUCCUACGGGAGGCAGCAGUGGGGAAUAUUGGACAAUGGGCGAAAGCCUGAUCCAGCAAUGCCGCGUGAGUGAUGAAGGCCUUAGGGUUGUAAAGCUCUUUUACCCGGGAUGAUAAUGACAGUACCGGGAGAAUAAGCUCCGGCUAACUCCGUG